GCGCUGCAGAGCCACGAGACGCCGCUAUCGCCUCUCUUCUGAGGAAAAAGAGACGCGGUAGCGGCGUCGGCUGUCUCUGCAGCGCGCUCGUUUUUCUUUUUGCACUCAGCUUGAGAAGCCCGCCGACAUUUUAAAUGCCCCCGCCUCUCGGAGAGGGGAGAGGCCGCUCAGCCAAUCCGAGGGAAGCGUUUCCGGAGCAGCCAAUCACGAGCGAGAUGGGCGUGCAGACAGGAGCCCGCGAGGCAGUCCGAGGGCGCUGGGCGGGAAAGGCGCGCGCUCUUUCCCGCCCAAACACAGGUGCGAACGCUGGGCUAUUUUCCCAGCUCGCGCAGCGGUUGCCAUGGAGACGGCCGCCGCGCGGGAAGCUGCUCAUCACGGUCAGGUGUGCCUCGGCCCGCACAGCUGUGCUUUUUAGGAUUGAGAGAACAGAGGGCGACUUGGGCUUCUACUGGAUUACAAGUCCCAUCAGCCACCUCUGGGGUGCUGAUGGGGAUCGUCCCUUCUUCCAACAGAGAACUUUAUCUUGUUGAGCAGGAAAAUGCUUAAAAUGCUGUUUUAAAAAAAACUGAAAAUUUUAUAAAUGCAAAAUAAAAUAAAGAUUACAUGCAGAAUUUA